rnacentral:rRNA from 1 species
CUGGCCGUAAACGAUGGAUACUAGGUGUUAGAGGUAUCGACCCCUCUAGUGCCGCAGCUAACGCAUUAAGUAUCCCGCCUGGGGAGUACGACCGCAAGGUUGAAACUCAAAGGAAUUGACGGGGGCCCGCACAAGCGGUGGAGCAUGUGGUUUAAUACGUCACUAACCGUAGAACCUUACCCAGGCUUGACAUCUGGUGUAAGUCCAUGAAAGUGGUACCCCUGUAUGGAAACAUGCAGCACCAAGACAGGUGU